UCAAGAUCCGGGUAUUGUCAUCGGCCGACUCACAACAUACAGUACACCAGAAACACAGACUAUACUAGUAACGCAAACAGACGCCAUUAUCAGCGUUUUAUCAUUGGGAGCUGCGAUGAAGACACGACUGAUGUAUUGUUUGUAGAAUCAACUGCUUCAGUAUCGCCACCUACUGGACUAGAGUUAAAUCUGCAACGUGACACCUGCAGCGCACCAUCCUCCCCCAGGUCUGGAAAAUGUCACAAUAUGCUCCUUUAUACUUUUGUACUCUGUAGAGGACAUUAUAUUUUAGUGAAUUUCUCUGAGACUAUACAUGCCACAUGUCUGUACAGAGCGCAUUCAGGGCGCAUUUUAGAGAUAUCAGAUGUUUGGAGGUUUGAUCAUAAACACUCCCUCACCUUGGACUGUAGAUAAGACUGAUAUUGACAGAAUGAUCACAUUUAGCACUCUUAGGGAAAUCUGAUAAUGUUUUGUAAUUAUCAUUUAAAUCUGCCUAAUUUUCAAAUUGUUUAUUGUAAAUAAAAAUCUCAGAAAAAUGUUGUGAAUCGGAAUAUGACUUUUUGUUACAAAACAGGGCAUAACUUUCAUACAUGUCUUCUGUUGAGGACACCAGGACAAACGGCAUGUUAAGCAAGCAUUUUGGGGAGGCACAACGAGUCAAUAGGGUAAGAAAAUGUUGAAAUGUCUUAUGAAAAUGUUGCCAAGUUAUUACUCCAGUUAUUACACUUUUUUUCAUUAUGGUUUGCUCCAAGAACACAUCAAUAUGCAAUUUAGAUGCAUUGUAUAGAAUGGGAAAACCAAUUUAUGGACAUUUCAUAAAGUACAGUAGUAUAUCAAACCAUUCUGUUACAUCCUUUAUACCAUAGAUGAGAAUCAUCUUUGUACAAAUUUUGGUUAAAAAUAGCCUGAAACCUAAAAACUGCUUGGUGAAUGAAAAAAUAAAACAUUAUUUUUGCCUUACACGCCUUUUCAUGUUGAUUUAUUUUUUUGAAUAACUUAGUCCUAGCGUCCUCA
rnacentral:lncRNA from 12 species